UUACCGGGAAUAAUAAAAAUACACUAUUAUCCGCCAGAGAACUACAAGCGAAAAGCUUAAAACUCCAAGGAUUUGAGCGGUGCUUCAAACCAACCUAGAGGAGCCUGUCCUAUAAUCGAUAAUCCACGUUAUACCUCACCCCCUCUUGCCAAUCAGUCUAUAUACCGCCGUCGCCAGCUUACCCUAUGAGAGAAUUCAAAGUAGGCAAAAUAGUUAGCAACUAAUACGUCAGGUCAAGGUGUAACAUAAGGGGCGGCAGAGAUGGGCUACAUUUUCCAAAACGAACAUACAAACAGCACGCUGAAACACGCACUUGAAGGUGGAUUUAGAAGUAAGAUAGACAAGAGUGGCUAUCUUAAACCUGCUCUGAAGCGCGCACACACCGCCCGUCACCCUC
rnacentral:rRNA from 1 species